rnacentral:tRNA from 1 species
AAAGGACUAGUUAAAUUAUAACAUCAGACUGUCAGACUGAAAUUGCUAAUAACCACCUUAGCGCCCUUUA